ACUAAGCGUACACGGUGGAUGCCCUGGCAGUCAGAGGCGAUGAAGGACGUGCUAAUCUGCGAUAAGCGCCGGUAAGGUGAUAUGAACCGUUAUAACCGGCGAUUUCCGAAUGGGGAAACCCAGUGUGACUCGUCACACUAUCAUUAACUGAAUCCAUAGGUUAAUGAGGCGAACCGGGGGAACUGAAACAUCUAAGUACCCCGAGGAAAAGAAAUCAACCGAGAUUCCCCCAGUAGCGGCGAGCGAACGGGGAGGAGCCCAGAGCCUGAAUCAGCAUGUGUGUUAGUGGAAGCGUCUGGAAAGGCGCGCGAUACAGGGUGACAGCCCCGUACACAAAAGCGCAUGUGCUGUGAGCUCGAUGAGUAGGGCGGGACACGUGGUAUCCUGUCUGAAUAUGGGGGGACCAUCCUCCAAGGCUAAAUACUCCUGACUGACCGAUAGUGAACCAGUACCGUGAGGGAAAGGCGAAAAGAACCCCGGCGAGGGGAGUGAAAAAGAACCUGAAACCGUGUACGUACAAGCAGUGGGAGCACAGGUUUACCUGUGUGACUGCGUACCUUUUGUAUAAUGGGUCAGCGACUUAUAUUCUGUAGCAAGGUUAACCGCAUAGGGGAGCCGGAGGGAAACCGAGUCUUAAUUGGGCGUUAAGUUGCAGGGUAUAGACCCGAAACCCGGUGAUCUAGCCAUGGGCAGGUUGAAGGUUGGGUAACACUAACUGGAGGACCGAACCGACUAAUGUUGAAAAAUUAGCGGAUGACCUGUGGCUGGGGGUGAAAGGCCAAUCAAACCGGGAGAUAGCUGGUUCUCCCCGAAAGCUAUUUAGGUAGCGCCUCGUGAAUUCAUCUCCGGGGGUAGAGCACUGUUUCGGCUAGGGGGCCAUCCCGGCUUACCAACCCGAUGCAAACUGCGAAUACCGGAGAAUGUUAUCACGGGAGACACACGGCGGGUGCUAACGUCCGUCGUGAAGAGGGAAACAACCCAGACCGCCAGCUAAGGUCCCAAAGUCAUGGUUAAGUGGGAAACGAUGUGGGAAGGCCCAGACAGCCAGGAUGUUGGCUUAGAAGCAGCCAUCAUUUAAAGAAAGCGUAAUAGCUCACUGGUCGAGUCGGCCUGCGCGGAAGAUGUAACGGGGCUAAACCAUGCACCGAAGCUGCGGCAGCGAACGUAUCACCCAAGACAACUUUGCGGAGUUGACGAUUGACGGAGCGAAGCGACGUCAAAGCGUUCAUUAAAGUCGAGUUGGCUUAGGGAUACGUUCGUUGGGUAGGGGAGCGUUCUGUAAGCCUGCGAAGGUGGCCUGUGAGGGUUGCUGGAGGUAUCAGAAGUGCGAAUGCUGACAUAAGUAACGAUAAAGCGGGUGAAAAGCCCGCUCGCCGGAAGACCAAGGGUUCCUGUCCAACGUUAAUCGGGGCAGGGUGAGUCGACCCCUAAGGCGAGGCCGAAAGGCGUAGUCGAUGGGAAACGGGUUAAUAUUCCCGUACUUGGUGUUACUGCGAAGGGGGGACGGAGAAGGCUAUGUUGGCCGGGCGACGGUUGUCCCGGUUUAAGCGUGUAGGUGUGUGUUCCAGGUAAAUCCGGUUCACUUUAACACUGAGGCGUGACGACGAGGCACUACGGUGCUGAAGCAACAAAUGCCCUGCUUCCAGGAAAAGCCUCUAAGCAUCAGGUAACAUCAAAUCGUACCCCAAACCGACACAGGUGGUCAGGUAGAGAAUACCAAGGCGCUUGAGAGAACUCGGGUGAAGGAACUAGGCAAAAUGGUGCCGUAACUUCGGGAGAAGGCACGCUGACACGUAGGUGAAGUGAUUUACUCAUGGAGCUGAAGUCAGUCGAAGAUACCAGCUGGCUGCAACUGUUUAUUAAAAACACAGCACUGUGCAAACACGAAAGUGGACGUAUACGGUGUGACGCCUGCCCGGUGCCGGAAGGUUAAUUGAUGGGGUCAGCGCAAGCGAAGCUCCUGAUCGAAGCCCCGGUAAACGGCGGCCGUAACUAUAACGGUCCUAAGGUAGCGAAAUUCCUUGUCGGGUAAGUUCCGACCUGCACGAAUGGCGUAAUGAUGGCCAGGCUGUCUCCACCCGAGACUCAGUGAAAUUGAACUCGCUGUGAAGAUGCAGUGUACCCGCGGCAAGACGGAAAGACCCCGUGAACCUUUACUAUAGCUUGACACUGAACAUUGAGCCUUGAUGUGUAGGAUAGGUGGGAGGCUUUGAAGUGUGGACGCCAGUCUGCAUGGAGCCGACCUUGAAAUACCACCCUUUAAUGUUUGAUGUUCUAACGUGGACCCGUAAUCCGGGUUGCGGACAGUGUCUGGUGGGUAGUUUGACUGGGGCGGUCUCCUCCUAAAGAGUAACGGAGGAGCACGAAGGUUGGCUAAUCCUGGUCGGACAUCAGGAGGUUAGUGCAAUGGCAUAAGCCAGCUUGACUGCGAGCGUGACGGCGCGAGCAGGUGCGAAAGCAGGUCAUAGUGAUCCGGUGGUUCUGAAUGGAAGGGCCAUCGCUCAACGGAUAAAAGGUACUCCGGGGAUAACAGGCUGAUACCGCCCAAGAGUUCAUAUCGACGGCGGUGUUUGGCACCUCGAUGUCGGCUCAUCACAUCCUGGGGCUGAAGUAGGUCCCAAGGGUAUGGCUGUUCGCCAUUUAAAGUGGUACGCGAGCUGGGUUUAGAACGUCGUGAGACAGUUCGGUCCCUAUCUGCCGUGGGCGCUGGAGAACUGAGGGGGGCUGCUCCUAGUACGAGAGGACCGGAGUGGACGCAUCACUGGUGUUCGGGUUGUCAUGCCAAUGGCACUGCCCGGUAGCUAAAUGCGGAAGAGAUAAGUGCUGAAAGCAUCUAAGCACGAAACUUGCCCCGAGAUGAGUUCUCCCUGAGACUUAGAGUCUCCUGAAGGAACGUUGAAGACGACGACGUUGAUAGGCCGGGUGUGUAAGCGCAGCGAUGCGUUGAGCUAACCGGUACUAAUGAACCGUGAGGCUUAACC
rnacentral:rRNA from 1 species